GGUUAAGCGACUAAGCGUACACGGUGGAUGCCCUGGCAGUCAGAGGCGAUGAAGGGCGUGCUAAUCUGCGAUAAGCGCCGGUAAGGUGAU
rnacentral:rRNA from 5 species